rnacentral:lncRNA from 1 species
AGCCAUAACAAGUCAGGCGUCAUGCUGGGUCUUUUUCGGCCUGCUGCAUCCGCUGGAGACGCACCAAGGUGCGGCUCGCAAAUGUAGUCGCGCUUGGCAGCGUCCACAUGAGCCUUGAAGGCAAGCUCGCUGGAGAGCGCGUCAACGGCCAUUUUGGCCUGGUUUGUGGAAGAAUACUACUGAAUCAAGUCGUGAUGGUGUUCACAGACCAAAGAGCGGCUCCUUAGGGCCUGGUGUUUGCACCCUAACCUCCUAGCAAAGCAUAACACACCGGCAACGUGGCUUCAGGUCUGG